rnacentral:rRNA from 1 species
UGCAAGUCGAGCGAACAGAUAAGGAGCUUGCUCCUUUGACGUUAGCGGCGGACGGGUGAGUAACACGUGGGCAACCUACCCUAUAGUUUGGGAUAACUCCGGGAAACCGGGGCUAAUACCGAAUAACUUGUUGUCUCUCAUGAGACAAUUCUAAAAGACGGUUUCGGCUGUCGCUAUAGGAUGGGCCCGCGGCGCAUUAGCUAGUUGGUGAGGUAACGGCUCACCAAGGCGACGAUGCGUAGCCGACCUGAGAGGGUGAUCGGCCACACUGGGACUGAGACACGGCCCAGACUCCUACGGGAGGCAGCAGUAGGGAAUCUUCCACAAUGGGCGAAAGCCUGAUGGAGCAACGCCGCGUGAGUGAAGAAGGAUUUCGGUUCGUAAAACUCUGUUGUAAGGGAAGAACAAGUACAGUAGUAACUGGCUGUACCUUGACGGUACCUUAUUAGAAAGCCACGGCUAACUACGUGCCAGCAGCCGCGGUAAUACGUAGGUGGCAAGCGUUGUCCGGAAUUAUUGGGCGUAAAGCGCGCGCAGGUGGUUUCUUAAGUCUGAUGUGAAAGCCCACGGCUCAACCGUGGAGGGUCAUUGGAAACUGGGAGACUUGAGUGCAGAAGAGGAUAGUGGAAUUCCAAGUGUAGCGGUGAAAUGCGUAGAGAUUUGGAGGAACACCAGUGGCGAAGGCGACUAUCUGGUCUGUAACUGACACUGAGGCGCGAAAGCGUGGGGA